AUCAUCAUCUUCAUCCUCAACAUCACGAUUUCCAUCCUCAUCAUCACCAUCUUCAUCCUCAUCAUCAACAUCUAAAUCAUCAUCAUCUUCCAUCACUGACUGUAUAUAAACUUCUCAGUUGGACGCCCAGUAAACAGAUGUUUGUGGUCGUGUUGCCCCCUGGUGGUCUGGAGCUUCACCGCAGCGCUCAGUCAAACACAGUUUCUGAUAUUUACAAUCAACGUUUUCAUUGAGGAUGAGCAGCAGGAAGCAGCUUCUGUGUGUGUGUGUGUGUCACUGUAACCAGACUCUGUCCUGACGGCCUCAGCCACACACACACACACACACACACACACACACACACACACACACACACACACACACACACACACACACACACCAUCAUUUGAAUAAGUACAAGAGGAAACAUGAGGAUCGAGGUUGCUCUCGGGGGAUUCAGUUCUUUAAUUACCUUUGGACAUUUCAAGGCUUUUUUUGAUCUGCAAAGUUGAGACAGGAAGUGUGUGUGUGUGUGUGUGUGUGUGUGUGUGUGUGUGUGUGUGUGUGUGUGUGUCUGGAUUAUCUUCGACAGCUCGAGUGUGAGAGUCCGACUUCAGAGGAGAAGCUGGAGAGAUUAACGUCGUCGCUGCCGCAGCUGCACCGUCCGUGACUAACAACAUGAACAAUAUGCGGCUGCUGCUCUUUGUGUUUCCUGAUGUGAGUGUUCAGAGGACGAGACUCAACGCUUCGUGUGGAACUUCAUGAUUGAAACACACACGAUGUCCCAGGACGAUCCAGGACAUUCCAGGACGAUCCAGGACGUCCCAGG